GUAUAGAAAUAUAUUAAACUCAAAAAGGAAGCAAGUAAAGACAGGAAAAGGAAAAAGGCUAAACAAACUAUGACGUACAGAUAUAAUGGGAUAUUAUUAUGCCAUGAGAAAUUGCCAAAGAGAAUUUCAGAGACUAUUGGAUAAUAUGAACAGAGUAAAGUGAGCAGAAUCAGGGAGGCAGCAGCCCUGCUAUGAUGGAGG
rnacentral:lncRNA from 1 species